UUAGAUAAUUAUUUUUGAAUUUGAGACCCAACCCGCGCGGGGGUGAGGGAGUAAAACAACAGCAUUAAACUAAACAAAAUCGUUCAUUUGAUAGCCUACAAUCCGGCGUGCAGCAGGAUGGCGUUACUUUGUCCUAUCCUGUAAAGGAAGUCUCAAGCGAAGUCAAAAAUCCAAGAAGACCGUUAACACUCGAAACACACCCUUCUCGUGUCUUAGCCUUUCCAUGUGCCCUCCCCUCCUCUCUUCCUCGUCCCAUAAAAGGAAAGAAAACCCAGAGCUCAUCCAUUCUCUUCUCGGGCAUUGUCUGUCGGUGAUUAGUUCUCUUGCAUCACUCAUUUAUUUCGGCGAUCUCUUCUCAUGUAUCGUCGUCUGGUGGUGACUAGUUCUCUUGCUUUACUCAUGUAUUUCGAUGGUGUUUUUUUAUUCUUUAUUUAUCGAACCCUGACUACAUCAUAGAAACAAAACUCCGAUGGCUUCAUCAACUAUAAUCUGCGAAACCUAGCCAUGGAAGGAAUUCAAGUCUCACGUUGAGAAAAUUAAAAGGACUCAUUUACGAGAUCUGUUAAGCGACGCUGACCGAUGCAAGUCAACGAUCCUUUUGCAGUGUUUGUUGGUGUGUUGCCUUUGUCUCUCCAAUAUGGUUUCUCAAUUGCUAGGAAGUUCUUGAAAGGAGCACAAAGCAUUGAUCAGCAUUCAUAUUCUGCACCAUUUGAAAAAAAUCUACCUGUAAG